rnacentral:rRNA from 1 species
CCCAGUGGGCAACUUUGGUAAGCAGAACUGGCGCUGUGGAAUGAACCCAACGGUAAUGUUACGGUGCCCAAAUUAACAACUCAUGCAGAUACAUGAAAGGCGUUGUUGCUUAAAACAGCAGGACGGUGAUCAUGGAAGUCGAAAUCCGCUAAGGAGUGUGUAACAACUCACCUGCCCGAAGCAACUAGCCCUUUAAAAUGGAUGGCGCUUAAGUUGUAUACCUAUACAUUACCGCUAAAGUAGAUGAUUUAUAUUACUUGUGAUAUAAAUUUUGAAACUUUAGUGAGUAGGAAGGUACAAUGGUAUGCGUAGAAGUGUUUGGCGUAAGCCUGCAUGGAGCUGCCAUUGGUACAGAUCUUGGUGGUAGUAGCAAAUAAUCGAAUGAGACCUUGGAGGACUGAAGUGGAGAAGGGUUUCGUGUGAACAGUGGUUGAUCACGAGUUAGUCGGUCCUAAGUUCAAGGCGAAAGCCGAAAAUUUUCAAGUAAAACAAAAAUGCCUAACUAUAUAAACAAAGCGAAUAUAAUACACUUGAAUAAUUUUGAACGAAAGGGAAUACGGUUCCAAUUCCGUAACCUGUUGAGUAUCCGUUUGUUAUUAAAUAUGGGCCUCGUGCUCAUCCUGGCAACAGGAACGACCAUAAAGAAGCCGUCGAGAGAUAUCGGAAGAGUUUUCUUUUCUGUUUUAUAGCCGUACUACCAUGGAAGUCUUUCGCAGAGAGAUAUGGUAGAUGGGCUAGAAGAGCAUGACAUAUACUGUUGUGUCGAUAUUUUCUCCUCGGACCUUGAAAAUUUAUGGUGGGGACACGCAAACUUCUCAACAGGCCGUACCAAUAUCCGCAGCUGGUCUCCAAGGUGAAGAGUCUCUAGUCGAUAGAAUAAUGUAGGUAAGGGAAGUCGGCAAAUUAGAUCCGUAACUUCGGGAUAAGGAUUGGCUCUGAAGAUUGAGAUAGUCGGGCUUGAUUGGGAAACAAUAACAUGGUUUAUGUGCUCGUUCUGGGUAAAUAGAGUUUCUAGCAUUUAUGUUAGUUACUUGUUCCCCGGAUAGUUUAGUUACGUAGCCAAUUGUGGAACUUUCUUGCUAAAAUUUUUAAGAAUACUAUUUGGGUUAAACCAAUUAGUUCUUAUCAAUUAUAACGAUUAUCAAUUAACAAUCAAUUCAGAACUGGCACGGACUUGGGGAAUCCGACUGUCUAAUUAAAACAAAGCAUUGUGAUGGCCCUAGCGGGUGUUGACACAAUGUGAUUUCUGCCCAGUGCUCUGAAUGUCAAAGUGAAGAAAUUCAAGUAAGCGCGGGUCAACGGCGGGAGUAACUAUGACUCUCUUAAGGUAGCCAAAUGCCUCGUCAUCUAAUUAGUGACGCGCAUGAAUGGAUUAACGAGAUUCCUACUGUCCCUAUCUACUAUCUAGCGAAACCACAGCCAAGGGAACGGGC